rnacentral:tRNA from 1 species
AUCAUUAUAGUUUAUUAAAACAUUUUAUUUUCAAUAAAAAAAAAAGAAUUAUCUUUCUUGAUA